rnacentral:rRNA from 1 species
UCCUUUGAUACUCUGGGCGGCACGCGCGCUACACUGGUUUAUAUAACGUGUAAUUUGGACGAUAGUCUGUAUAAAUCACUAAUAUAAAACCGUGAAUGGGAUAGUUUAUUGCAACUUACAAACUUUAACUAGGAAUCCCUUGUAGAAGUAGUGAAUUAUACUGCUUCGAAUACGUCCCUGCCGAUUGUACACACCGCCCGUCGUUUCUUCCGACUGGUACUCAUUGUGAAUUGCGAGGAGAUUCUGUCAAAUCGUUGUAAAUGCUGGGUAUUGGAGGAAGAAAAAGUCGUAACA